rnacentral:rRNA from 1 species
ACGGAGGGUGCGAGCGUUAAUCGGAAUUACUGGGCGUAAAGCGCACGCAGGCGGUUCGUUAAGUCAGAUGUGAAAGCCCGGGGCUCAACCUGGGAACUGCAUCUGAAACUGGUAAGCUUGAGUAUUGUAGAGGGGGGUAGAAUUCCAGGUGUAGCGGUGAAAUGCGUAGAGAUCUGGAGGAAUACCGGUGGCGAAGGCGGCCCCCUGGACGAAGACUGACGCUCAGGUGCGAAAGCGUGGGGAGCAAACAG